rnacentral:rRNA from 1 species
UGGGGAAUAUUGCACAAUGGGCGCAAGCCUGAUGCAGCCAUGCCGCGUGUAUGAAGAAGGCCUUCGGGUUGUAAAGUACUUUCAGCGGGGAGGAAGGCGUUAAGGUUAAUAACCUUGUCGAUUGACGUUACCCGCAGAAGAAGCACCGGCUAACUCCGUGCCAGCAGCCGCGGUAAUACGGAGGGUGCAAGCGUUAAUCGGAAUUACUGGGCGUAAAGCGCACGCAGGCGGUCUGUCAAGUCGGAUGUGAAAUCCCCGGGCUCAACCUGGGAACUGCAUUCGAAACUGGCAGGCUAGAGUCUUGUAGAGGGGGGUAGAAUUCCAGGUGUAGCGGUGAAAUGCGUAGAGAUCUGGAGGAAUACCGGUGGCGAAGGCGGCCCCCUGGACAAAGACUGACGCUCAGGUGCGAAAGCGUGGGGAGCAAACA